rnacentral:rRNA from 1 species
GGGGGGGGGGGGGGGGGGGCGUGGGGCGGGCGGGGCGGACGGGGGGGGCGGGGCGGGGGGCGGGCGGGUGCGUGCCGCGUGGGAACCUGCCCUUAGGGUCGGAAUCACUCCCCGGAAGGGGUGCUAAUACCGGAUAAUGUCUUCGGACCAAAGAUUUAUCGCCUUUGGAUGGGCCCGCGUUGGCUUAGCUAGUUGGUAGGGUAAAAGCCUACCAAGGCGACGAUCCAUAGCUGGUCUGAGAGGAUGAUCAGCCACACUGGGACUGAGACACGGCCCAGACUCCUACGGGAGGCAGCAGUGGGGAAUAUUGGACAAUGGGCGAAAGCCUGAUCCAGCAAUGCCGCGUGAGUGAUGAAGGCCUUAGGGUUGUAAAGCUCUUUUACCCGGGAUGAUAAUGACAGUACCGGGAGAAUAAGCUCCGGCUAACUCCGUG